GGACUUGAUAUGAUGUUUAGGACAUGCACCGUACAGGUUAAUCUGGAUUUCAGUUCUGAAGCUGACAUGAUAAGGAAAUUUCGCGCUGGGCUUGCUUUGCAGCCGAUAGCAACAGCUCUAUUUGCAAAUUCACCUUUCACUGAAGGAAAGCCAAAUGGUUAUCUGAGCAUGAGAAGCCAAAUUUGGACAGAUACUGAUAAGAAUCGCACCGGCAUGCUGCCAUUUGUUUUUGAUGACUCAUUUGGGUUUGA
rnacentral:misc_RNA from 1 species